UAGCAUAAUAAUUUGCCUUUUUAUUGAAGGCUAGUAUGAAAGGGUAAACCGAGGUUCAACUGUCUCUUUCUAGAGAGAAGAAUUUCAAUUUUGAGUGAAAAUGCUCAAAUGAUAUAGAGGGACGAGAAGACCCUUAGAUCUUCCUUGAGGCUGUAACGGCUAAGAGUUACCUGGGAGGGGGCUAUCAUAAACUUUAGAUUACUUUAAAGAAAUUUAAUUCAAAUGUGAUGAUCCUAAUCGGAUGAAAGAUUAGAUACCUAAGGGAUAACAGCGCUAUUUUCUUUUUUUAGAUCAUUUAAAAUAAAGAAGCUUGCGACC
rnacentral:rRNA from 1 species